rnacentral:rRNA from 1 species
CCUACGGGAGGCAGCAGUGAGGAAUAUUGGUCAAUGGCCGGAAGGCUGAACCAGCCAUGCCGCGUGAAGGUCAGUGCCCUAUGGGCGUUAAACUUCUUUUGUGCGGGAGCAAUAAUGGUCACGUGUGGCCAGACGAGAGUACCGUACGAAUAAGCAUCGGAUAACUCCGUGCCAGCAGCCGCGGUAAUACGGGGGAUGCAAGCGUUAUCCGGAUUUAUUGGGUUUAAAGGGUGCGUAGGCUGUGAGGUAAGUCAGCGGUGAAAUGCCCCCGCUCAACGGGGUGACGUGCCAUUGAUACUGGCUGGCUGGAAUGCGGAUGCCGUGGGAGGAAUGUGUGGUGUAGCGGUGAAAUGCAUAGAUAUCACACAGAACACCGAUUGCGAAGGCAUCUCACGGAUCCGCGAUUGACGCUGAUGCACGAAAGCGUGGGUAUCAAACAGGAUUAGAUACCCCUGUAGUC